AUGACUAAAAAACCAGGAAAGUCCGGCAAUCGUCGGACUGUCAAUAUG
rfam:New Mapoon virus strain CY1014 polyprotein gene, complete cds